rnacentral:rRNA from 1 species
AACGUAGGAGACAAACGUUAUCCGGAGUUACUGGGCGUAAAGGGCGUGUAGGUGGUUACGUAAGUCUGGCGUGAAAUUUCUCGGCUUAACCGAGGCAGGUCGUCGGAUACUGCGAGACUAGAGGACGGUAGAGGCGUGUGGAAUUCCGGGUGUAGCGGUGGAAUGCGUAGAGAUCCGGAAGAACACCAGUGGCAGAAGCG